AUUGAACGCUGGCGGCAGGCCUAACACAUGCAAGUCGAGCGGAAACGAGUUAUCUGAACCUUCGGGGAACGAUAACGGCGUCGAGCGGCGGACGGGUGAGUAAUGCCUAGGAAAUUGCCCUGAUGUGGGGGAUAACCAUUGGAAACGAUGGCUAAUACCGCAUGAUGCCUACGGGCCAAAGAGGGGGACCUUCGGGCCUCUCGCGUCAGGAUAUGCCUAGGUGGGAUUAGCUAGUUGGUGAGGUAAGGGCUCACCAAGGCGACGAUCCCUAGCUGGUCUGAGAGGAUGAUCAGCCACACUGGAACUGAGACACGGUCCAGACUCCUACGGGAGGCAGCAGUGGGGAAUAUUGCACAAUGGGCGCAAGCCUGAUGCAGCCAUGCCGCGUGUAUGAAGAAGGCCUUCGGGUUGUAAAGUACUUUCAGUCGUGAGGAAGGCGGCGUCGUUAAUAGCGGCGUUGUUUGACGUUAGCGACAGAAGAAGCACCGGCUAACUCCGUGCCAGCAGCCGCGGUAAUACGGAGGGUGCGAGCGUUAAUCGGAAUUACUGGGCGUAAAGCGCAUGCAGGUGGUUUGUUAAGUCAGAUGUGAAAGCCCGGGGCUCAACCUCGGAAUAGCAUUUGAAACUGGCAGACUAGAGUACUGUAGAGGGGGGUAGAAU
rnacentral:rRNA from 1 species